AGAAGUGCUAGCGGCAGACGGGUGAGUAACACGUAGUCAACCUAUCUUUUCGCCCGGGAUAACUAGCCGAAAGGUUAGCUAAUACCUGAUACGAUCAUCGAGUGGCAUCACUUGAUGAUGAAAGCAGCAAUGCGCGGAUUGAGGGGGCUGCGGCCCAUUAGCUAGUUGGUGAGGUAACGGCCCACCAAGGCAACGAUGGGUAGCUGGUCUGAGAGGACGACCAGCCACACUGGGACUGAGACACGGCCCAGACUCCUACGGGAGGCAGCAGUGAGGAAUUUUCCACAAUGGGGGAAACCCUGACGGAGCGACGCCGCGUGCGGGAGGAAGGCCUUCGGGUCGUAAACCGCUGUCGAGGGGGACGAUUAUGACGGUACCCCUGGAGGAAGCCCCGGCUGACUACGUGCCAGCAGCCGCGGUAAGACGUAGGGGGCAAGCGUUGUUCGGAAUUAUUGGGCGUAAAGCGUGCGUAGGUGGAUUCGUAAGUCGGGGUUGAAAUAUCCGGGCUCAACUCGGGGACCGGCCUCGAUACUGCGGAUCUCGAGUCAAGAAGAGGGUAGUAGAAUUCCCGGUGUAGCGGUGAAAUGCGUAGAUAUCGGGAGGAAUACCAGUGGCGAAGGCGGCUACCUGGUCUUGCACUGACGCUGAGGCACGAAAGCUGGGGAAGCAAACGGGAUUAGAUACCCCGGUAGUCCCAGCUGUAAACGAUGAAUGCUAGGUGUAAGGGGUAUCGACCCCCUUUGUGCCGCAGUUAACACAAUAAGCAUUCCGCCUGGGGACUACGGCCGCAAGGUUAAAACUUAAAGGAAUUGACGGAAUCGA
rnacentral:rRNA from 1 species